GUGCCCAGCUUACCAGCGCAUAUACUAGAAUUAGAAUAACACGGAGAAGAUUAGCAUGGCCCCUGCACGAGGGUGAUGCACAAAUUCAUGAAACAUUCCGUAUUUUU
rnacentral:snRNA from 1 species